ACAUGGGAACACAUGGGGACACCGGGGACAGUUGGGGAACAGCUGGGGACAGCUGGGGACAGCAGGGACAUCGGGGACACCGGGGGACAGCUGGGGACACAUGGGGACACCUGGGGAACAGUUGGGGAACAGUUGGGGACAGCUGGGGACAGCUGGGGAACAGUUGGGGAACAGUUGGGGACAGCUGGGGAACAGCUGGGGAACAGCUGGGGACAGCUGGGGACAGUUGGGGAACAGUUGGGGACAGCUGGGGACAGCUGGGGAACAGCUGGGGAACAGCUGGGGACACCUGGGGACAGCUGGGGACACCUGGGGAACAGUUGGGGAACAGUUGGGGACAGCUGGGGAGAGCUGGGAACAGUUGGGGACAGCUGGGGACAGCUGGGGACACCUGGGGACACCUGGGGACACUGGGGGAACAGUUGGGGAACAGCUGGGGAGACCUUGGGGACACCUGGGGAUGCCUUGGGGACACUUGGGAACAUCUGAGGACACCUGGGAACACCUCGGGGAUACCUGGGGAACAGCUGGGGAGACCUCAGGGAUACCUGGGGAUGCCUUGGGGACACCUUGGAGUCAUUUGGGGACACCUGGGGAUGCCUUGGGGACAGCUGGGGACACCUUGGGGAUGCCAGGGCACAUCUGGGGACAUCUUAGGGAUGCCUGGGGACACCUGGGGUUGGCUGGGGACACCCGGGGACAUCUUGGAGACACUUGGGGACACCUUGGAGCACCUGGGGAGGCCUUGGGGACAUCUGGGGACAUCUUGGAGACACCUUGGAGCACCUGGGGAAACCUUGGGGACACCUGGAGAUGCGUUGGCGACACCUGGGGACAUCUCAGGGAUGCCUGGGCACACUUGGGGACACCUUGGGAACAUCUGGGGACACCUGGGAAUGCCUUGGGGACACCUGGGGGACAUCUGGGGACAUCUCAGGGAUGCCUGGGCACACUUGGGGACACCUUGGGAACAUCUGGGGACAUGUGGGGAUGCCUUGGGGACACCUUGGGGACACCUGAGGAUGCCUGGCAACAGCUCAGGGACACCUGGGGAUGCCUUGGGGACACCUGGGGAUGCUGGGGGACACCUUGGGGCACCUGGGGACACCUUGGGAACAUCUGGGGACACCUGGGGAUGCCUUGGGGACACCAGGGGACGGUGGCUCUCUGUCGCAGCCCCGAACUGGGUGGCAACGCUCAACGUGGGCUACGGGGGGGCCCACGCCAGCUACUACCACCGGGCCAACGAGCAGGUGGGUGUCCCCCGCUGUCCCCUCUGUCCCCAUGCUGUCCCUGCUCUCCCCACGCUGUCCCCUCACUGUCCCCCUGCUGUCCCCGCUGUCCCCUCACUGUCCCCAUGUUGUCCCCUCGCUGUCCUCGCUGUCCCCACACUGUCCCCGCACUGUCCCCAGCUGUCCCCUCGCUGUCUCUGCUGUCCCCUCACUGUCCCG
ensembl:lncRNA